AAGCGAUUCCGGCGGGGGUUGGGCAUGCGGCGCAUUUUCUUUGUCGGCGGGGUAACGGCCCACCGAGGCGACGAUGCGUAGGGGUUCUGAGAGGAAGGUCCCCCACACUGGUACUGAGACACGGACCAGACUCCUACGGGAGGCAGCAGUGAGGAAUAUUGGUCAAUGGGCGGGAGCCUGAACCAGCCAAGUCGCGUGAGGGAAGACGGUCCUAAGGAUUGUAAACCUCUUUUGCCGGGGAGCAACGGGGUCCUUGCGAGGGCCCAAUGAGAGUACCCGGAGAAAAAGCAUCGGCUAACUCCGUGCCAGCAGCCGCGGUAAUACGGAGGAUGCGAGCGUUAUCCGGAUUUAUUGGGUUUAAAGGGUGCGUAGGCGGGCUGUCAAGUCAGCGGUCAAUUGUCGGGGCUCAACCCCGGCCUGCCGUUGAAACUGGCGGCCUCGAGUGGGCGAGAAGUAUGCGGAAUG
rnacentral:rRNA from 1 species